rnacentral:rRNA from 1 species
UUAAGCGACUAAGCGUACACGGUGGAUGCCCUGGCAGUCAGAGGCGAUGAAGGACGUGCUAAUCUGCGAUAAGCGUCGGUAAGGUGAUAUGAACCGUUAUAACCGGCGAUUUCCGAAUGGGGAAACCCAGUGUGUUUCGACACACUAUCAUUAACUGAAUCCAUAGGUUAAUGAGGCGAACCGGGGGAACUGAAACAUCUAAGUACCCCGAGGAAAAGAAAUCAACCGAGAUUCCCCCAGUAGCGGCGAGCGAACGGGGAGCAGCCCAGAGCCUGAAUCAGUGUGUGUGUUAGUGGAAGCGUCUGGAAAGGCGCGCGAUACAGGGUGACAGCCCCGUACACAAAAAUGCACAUGCUGUGAGCUCGAUGAGUAGGGCGGGACACGUGGUAUCCUGUCUGAAUAUGGGGGGACCAUCCUCCAAGGCUAAAUACUCCUGACUGACCGAUAGUGAACCAGUACCGUGAGGGAAAGGCGAAAAGAACCCCGGCGAGGGGAGUGAAAAAGAACCUGAAACCGUGUACGUACAAGCAGUGGGAGCACGCUUAGGCGUGUGACUGCGUACCUUUUGUAUAAUGGGUCAGCGACUUAUAUUCUGUAGCAAGGUUAACCGAAUAGGGGAGCCGAAGGGAAACCGAGUCUUAACUGGGCGUUAAGUUGCAGGGUAUAGACCCGAAACCCGGUGAUCUAGCCAUGGGCAGGUUGAAGGUUGGGUAACACUAACUGGAGGACCGAACCGACUAAUGUUGAAAAAUUAGCGGUUGACUUGUGGCUGGGGGUGAAAGGCCAAUCAAACCGGGAGAUAGCUGGUUCUCCC